AGAAUCAACGCUGGCGGCGUGCCUAACACAUGCAAGUCGCACGAGAAAGGGUAGCAAUACCUGAGUAAAGUGGCGCACGGGUGAGUAACACGUGACUAACCUACCCUUUGAGUGGGGGAUAACUGAGGGAAACCUUAGCUAAUACCGCAUAAUACCCACGGGUCAAAGGAGCAAUUCGCUCGAGGAGGGGUCGCGGCCGAUUAGUUAGUUGGCGGGGUAAUGGCCCACCAAGACGAUGAUCGGUA
rnacentral:rRNA from 1 species